UCCGGCUUAUCACCGGCAGUCCCCCUAGAGUGCCCAGCUUAACCUGAUGGCAACUAGUAGCGAGGGUUGCGCUCGUUGCGGGACUUAACCCAACAUCUCACGACACGAGCUGACGACAGCCAUGCAGCACCGUCUCACCGAUUCCCCGAAGGGCACCCCUCCGCCUCUGGAAGGUUCCGGUGGAUUUAACCCAGGUAAGGUUCUGCGCGUUGCGUCGAAUUGAACCACAUGCUCCACCGCUUGUGCGGGCCCCCGUCAAUUCCUUUGAGUUUCAGUCUUGCGACCGUACUCCCCAGGCGGAAUACUUAACGCGUUAGCUACGGCUCUAGACCGUUGACGGGCCUAAAACCUAGUAUUCAUCGUUUAUGGCAUGGACUAC
rnacentral:misc_RNA from 1 species